AGCUUUCGGGCCCAUACCCCGAAUAUGUUGGUUAAACCCCCUCCUUUACUA
rnacentral:tRNA from 1 species